rnacentral:rRNA from 1 species
UAGGGAAUCUUCGGCAAUGGACGAAAGUCUGACCGAGCAACGCCGCGUGAGUGAAGAAGGUUUUCGGAUCGUAAAACUCUGUUGUUAGAGAAGAACAAGGACGUUAGUAACUGAACGUCCCCUGACGGUAUCUAACCAGAAAGCCACGGCUAACUACGUGCCAGCAGCCGCGGUAAUACGUAGGUGGCAAGCGUUGUCCGGAUUUAUUGGGCGUAAAGCGAGCGCAGGCGGUUUCUUAAGUCUGAUGUGAAAGCCCCCGGCUAAACCGGGGAGGGUCAUUGGAAACUGGGAGACUUGAGUGCAGAAGAGGAGAGUGGAAUUCCAGGUGUAGCGGUGAAAUGCGUAGAUAUAUGGAGGAACACCAGUGGCGAAGGCGGCUCUCUGGUCUGUAACUGACGCUGAGGCUCGAAAGCGUGGGGAGCAAACAGG